rnacentral:rRNA from 1 species
UGGGGAAUAUUGCACAAUGGGCGCAAGCCUGAUGCAGCCAUGCCGCGUGUAUGAAGAAGGCCUUCGGGUUGUAAAGUACUUUCAGUCGGGAGGAAGGUGUCAAGGUUAAUAACCUUGGCAAUUGACGUUACCGACAGAAGAAGCACCGGCUAACUCCGUGCCAGCAGCCGCGGUAAUACGGAGGGUGCAAGCGUUAAUCGGAAUUACUGGGCGUAAAGCGCACGCAGGCGGUUUGUUAAGUCAGAUGUGAAAUCCCCGGGCUCAACCUGGGAACUGCAUCUGAUACUGGCAAGCUUGAGUCUCGUAGAGGGGGGUAGAAUUCCAGGUGUAGCGAUGAAAUGCGUAGAGAUCUGGAGGAAUACCGGUGGCGAAGGCGGCCCCCUGGACAAAGACUGACGCUCAGGUGCGAAAGCGUGGGGAGCAAACAGG